AGGACACAGUUAACCAACAGAUCCACUUUAUUCCAUCCCCUUGGAAUAACAUAUUUAAAUUUCUUAUUGGUUUAAUUCGUUUUUCUCACAUCCCGAGUUUUCAAGGUAAAGCCAAGUAAUGUGGAAACGACCUAUUUCUACUGUGUACUAACAUGCAUUUAACUACAGCUGACCUUUGAACAACAGGGGGUGGAAACUGUGUGUCUACUUCUGCGGGGAUUUUCUUCCGCCUCUCCUACCUGAGACAGAAGAACUUUCCCUUCUCUUGCUCCUUCUGCUCAGCCUGCUCAACCUGACGGUGAUGAAAACUGAAGCCCUUGAUGAUGAUCCACUUCCACUUAAUGAACAGCACUGUAGAAGUCUCGCAUAUAUAAUCAUUUAAAAUUUCGCUGAAGUCAUGUCUGAAUUCUGCACACUGCGUUGUGGAUGUGGGAGAGGUGACUAAACUAAACAGAGUCAACGCAGUCAACCACCCAGGACUUGCAAUUCCAGGGGGUUGCAUCCACCUAACCCCCCGGGGUUCUGGCUUCGGAUAGUGUUUGGUCAAUGCAAGCAACAAAAGAAGACUGGAGGACAUGAAGACAGGUUACUGGAUGAUAUUUGACAUGAGCUGCAAUCCUCCAUCUGAGGUCCCAACUUUUCCAGAAGGCUUCUGUCCUGUUGCGCUCAUUGGAUUCUGCAUUAUGGGAAUCUCUUGAAGUGUGUGAAGAAUAAUGAGCUAAAGAAAGAGGAAAAACAAAAGAAAACAAAAACUGCAGGGACUUGGCAGGUUUGACUUUUGUAACUAUCAUUGAUUGCCAGCUUAAGCCUGCUGGACUCUUCACAAAACUAUAUAUGCUUCAAGCUUAAUAUUUAAUUUUGUAAUUGGAACAUUUAUAAUCAUAUUAUGCAUUUAAUAAGGAUGCUCUAAUUCAGAUUUACUAUUAUCAGGAAAUUAAAUUUGGAGUUAUAGUAAUGCAUGCAUAUAUAUGUGUGGGUGUGGGUGUGCAUAUACCUAUAUAUGUAUAUACAUACAUAAAGUAAAUGCCUUCUUUUAACGUGUGUUUUAAGUAUAGCUUCCAUGUCCUAGUUAAUUCAGCACCCUCCCUUUUAUCCUUUCCUUGCCAUUGUCCUCUCUACUAGACUACAGUAAAAACAAAAAACUAUGAAAGUAAGCGGCUUAUAAUCAUAAUUUUAAUCAAUGUAGCCUAUGCAAGCUUUAAGAAACAUACGUCUAACAUCUUAGAAAGAAAGCUUAUGAACACAAACAGCAGAAUACUUAAAUACAUUUGAAACAUUCACAUUGAAUUGAUUCUACAAAAUUUUGAAGAGCAACAGCUUUUGAAUGUAAAGCUAUAAUCAAUACCCUAAAGUUUUUACCACUGAGUUAUUACCUAGUAAAAAUAUGUUAUAUUUGCAAUAAAAGUACACAUUGUAAGGACAUAAGAAUUGUCAUCAAGGUACACAAACAUUUUAGAAUUAUUAAACAUUUAAGUAAAUGGAAAUUUUAAAAAUAAAAUAGCAAUAUUAUCAUACAAGUUAAUGAUCCAGUUUAUUAAUUUCUAAUUCUAUUGAUAAAACAAGGGAUUAUUUUUGAAAGGGUUUUUCUUUCACACAAACCCUUUCCAAAAAUGUAUAGAUACAGUACAGAUUCUACCUGAUCAUUCUUGUGUAUAUGCUGAUGUAAGAAACCAAAAACAUGUAAAUUAUUUUCAUAACACUGUGAAAACCAAUAUUUAAAAAUACAGUGCACAAUUAGUAGUGAGUAACAUAUAUAAAUUUAGAAAUAUUAUAUUUCUGUAGAUAAUGUAACAUUAUAAAUGAAAGCUUCAGGAAUAAUGAGCUACUUAUUAUUCCAGAAAUUAUAUAUCAAAAAUUUCAAAUAUAGAGGAAAAUUAAUAACCCACUCAUGACCCAUGAAAAUUAAUAACCCAUUCGAUCAUACACUUACCAUGUAACUUUCUGUUAAUUUGGUAAUAAAUAAUGUCAAGAGAUUUUAAAUGAAAAUACUUAUUCUGAAACAUAAAAACAACAUCUGAGAUGAACAUAAAUGGAUCAAUAGAUACAUUAUUGAUUAUUUUGUAUCAUAAAAUACUAUCUAGUACAACAUUCUUUAAAAAAUUCAAUAUUUUUAUAAUGUAAGUAAAACGGGAAGAACUGUUAGAGAAAUGGGCAUCAGAUUUAGAUUAAUUCUGCCUCAAACGCAAAUUGAAGGCUGAGCCCUGUAUGAUCUUGACCAUUCUAAGUUUUACUUCAUUAAAACACAUAAAAUAUUCUGCGAGGUUUUCUCCAAUGGGAUUUUGAAUCUCACUGAUGACUAUGAUUUAGGAGUAAUGUAGAGAGUUUUGCAACUAACUUUACUUUAUACCGUUACUCCUUUUCUACUUGGGGGUUCAGUUCAACACGCUAAUAAAAGAAAUAGUCAUAAGAGCAUCAUAAGGAAAGUAGGAGAAAUGUUAAUGCCUCAUUAUAUUUACAAUCUUUACAAAACAUGUAUGUCAGUAAACCAUAUUAACAUCUAAAGCACAUGAUAUGUAGAAACAAAUUGUGACUACAAAAUGUGUCUUGUUUCUUAAAUAUGCUAAAUAGGAAAUAAAUCACAUCUACUUCAAUUUUUAAUCUGUGGACUUUGGCCUUAGUUUGUGUUUUAUUUUAUUUUUUUGCUUUUGAUUUUAACCACUGAAAUCAUUUACCAAUACUAUAAGCCAGGAAAUACAAUGUAACUGGCCAGUUGAAAAUUAAGCCUUCUCAUUUUAUUAUUACAAUCAAGGGGGGAAAUGCUUAUAUAUCUUCCUGCACAAAAUGUUUCAUUUAUCAAAAAAAAAAAAGUGAGAAAAAUAAAGAAAAUUUGGGUGAGAUAAAUAAUCCACAACUAUUAAUUCAACAGAUAUUAUUUAAGAAAUUCCUACCUGUAAUUUAUUUUUUAAUAUUUCUGCAUCCUUAGUAUUUAUCGCUCAAAGACAUUUGCAGCCCUCAUAGCAGUGCUUGGAAAAGAGAUUUGCUCUGAAAAUUUAGAAAUAAAUUCCUGAAGUGAAUACAGUUCAAAACUAAAAUAUAUUGCUGUAUUAUAUUGGUUUUUCUCAUUUGAAAUUAAAAUCUAAAAAACCUUCAUAUUAGGUUUUGUGUGUCAAGCUGCCAUUAUAAAAACACUAAAUGAAUAAAAUUUCGCAAGCAAGGCAGCAUUAUCAGGCUAAGUACAUGUAGUGGGCUUAUAUAUGGUGAUGUUUUACGUAAUUCAGCUAUUAAUUCAUCUAUAGAUUUACAUUCCUUAAGUGCAAAAAAAAGUAAUUAUUUCAUUACAUACGGAAUUCGCCUCCCAAAUUUCCCAGAAUCUAAGAGAAAGGAUUGAUAUUUUCUGAUAUUUCAUUUUUGCUUAAAAUUAAGUUCUUAGGAUGUUUAGAUUUUAUUACAAAUAUUACAACUUAAUUCCAGAGUUAUAAUGAACGGUCUAUGUUUUGAAACACAGAGGGAAAAUGGGGUAAUGACUGAAGUGCUGUUUUUUCAGUUUAUUAGUAAAAAUCAGCUUAUAAGAUGUCAUUGUAAUGGUUUCUAUUGAUAAUUACCAUAAACAAAGAUUAAAACUUUAAAUACUAAGUUCUGGAUUUCUAAGCCCAGUGAAAGUUUGUGCAAUACCAUGCCUUGCAUUUAUGAUUUUUCUUUUAAAAUGAACUAUAAAUGAAGAAAUUUACACAGAAUUGGAAACUAUUCCUACUUUUAUUUGCAUUCUUCCUUCCAUUCAUUGCUAAUGUUCAACAAUAAAGCAUUUUAAUUCUAAA
rnacentral:antisense_RNA from 1 species